rnacentral:rRNA from 1 species
GAUGAACGCUGGCGGCGUGCCUAAUACAUGCAAGUAGAACGCUGAAGGAGGAGCUUGCUCUUCUGGAUGAGUUGCGAACGGGUGAGUAACGCGUAGGUAACCUGCCUGGUAGCGGGGGAUAACUAUUGGAAACGAUAGCUAAUACCGCAUGACAACAGUUAUUGCAUGAUAACUGUUUAAAAGGGGCAACUGCUCCACUACCAGAUGGCCCUGCGUUGUAUUAGCUAGUUGGUGAGGUAACGGCUCACCAAGGCGACGAUACAUCGCCGACCUGAGAGGGGGAUCGGCCACACUGGGACUGAGACACGGCCCAGACUCCUACGGGAGGCAGCAGUAGGGAAUCUUCGGCAAUGGACGGAAGUCUGACCGAGCAACGCCGCGUGAGGGAAGAAGGGUUUCGGAUCGUAAAGCUCUGUUGUAAGAGAAGAACGAGGGUGGGAGUGGAAAGUUCACACUGUGACGGUAGCUUACCAGAAAGAGACGGCUAACUACGUG